rnacentral:rRNA from 1 species
GGAAACUCACCAGGUCCAGACACGAUGAGGAUUGACAGAUUGAGAGCUCUUUCUUGAUUUCGUGGGUGGUGGUGCAUGGCCGUUCUUAGUUGGUGGAGUGAUUUGUCUGCUUAAUUGCGAUAACGAACGAGACCUUAACCUGCUAAAUAGCCCGUAUUGCUUUGGCAGUACGCUGGCUUCUUAGAGGGACUAUCGGCUCAAGCCGAUGGAAGUUUGAGGCAAUAACAGGUCUGUGAUGCCCUUAGAUGUUCUGGGCCGCACGCGCGCUACACUGACAGAGCCAGCGAGUACUCCCUUGGCCGAAAGGCCCGGGUAAUCUUGUUAAACUCUGUCGUGCUGGGGAUAGGGCAUUGCAAUUAUUGCCCUUCAACGAGGAAUCCCUAGUAAGCGCAAGUCAUCAGCUUGCGUUGAUUACGUCCCUGCCCUUUGUACACACCGCCCGUCGCUACUACCGAUUGAAUGGCUCAGUGAGGCUUUCGGACUGGCCCAGAGAGGUCGGCAACGACCACUCAGGGCCGGAAAGUUAUCCAAACUCGGUCAUUUAGAGGAAGUAA